CGGAUGUUUAUGAAUUUAGCUACGCGCGUUGCCAGUUUAACCAAGUUUACUGUCUUACGACUUUUCAACUUUAGACCACUAUGUUAUGUCACUAAUGUCUUCGAUAUUUAUACCGACGUUGAACUUCGAAAGGAGGAGUACGGUUAUGUGUCUUGGGUGUCAUCCUGUGAAGAUCCCUAAGUUUGGAAAGGAAGUGACUGCUGCUGUUAAUGCUGGCUUGAGGUUCCUGUGCAUCCACAAGCGCCAAAUCCUAAGAAGUGGCUUACCUUGCCAGCUAGUCCCUGGGGUCUAUUCCUUUGAUCAGGAAAAUUGUUGGGAGCGGAGCAGAGACCUGAUCUCUGAUGCAUACAUCAUGCUACUCUCGGAGGGUAGCAAUGCUGAGCGUGAAAUCCAAGAUCCCGGUAAGACCCGUCUCUGUACCAGAGUGAAUGUGAGAUCCAGUGGAAAAUUAUCUUGUCUGUGAAAAUAUAACUUUUUCAACUGUGAGAGGAAGAAUGAUAAAUUGAAGGCCUGUCAGUCCAACACUGCCUCCUACUGGUGAGCUGGAAGAGUUGACUGACUGUCGUCACUCACUCAGACCCUCUCAGACCAACAGUUCUGUUUAAUUGUUAUUCUGUUGUCCUAGUAUCAAAAGAGCAUUGCUGGUAUAAGAUAAUAUAUAAGACAAUGUUUUGAUAUUGUAGGUGAUUUAGUUGGAUUCGACUGGCUGUGACUUUUAGGCUAUAUUAUAUUAUACAAGUAAAUCAUUAACUAAAUGUCUAACUGUCUAUGUGACUAUUAUUCUGCAAGGAUGUAGGAUCAUGGCAUUUUAAACUAAUACAGAAUAUGUAAUUUUUCACUAUUACUUAUUUUUAUUAUAUCCAUACAAAUUAAUGCCUUGCUUAUGUGAGAAGUCUGCCAGAAUGUGUUUUGCAGUGUAAUAUGUGUAAUUAUGAUUUAAAAGUUGUCAUAAAAUAGUAGUGGUAUAGUUAAUUUACCAGUGCUUGAACUACACAGAUUUACAGAUUUUACCCCGUAAAAUAUUUCUAGAGGAAGUUGUUUCAAGUUCACAAUUAAUUCUACAAUACAUAUUAAUAUUACACAAUCUUUAAAUAUUAUUCAGUGACCAUUUUC